rnacentral:rRNA from 1 species
AUUGAACGCUGGCGGCAGGCCUAACACAUGCAAGUCGAGCGGAUGAAGGGAGCUUGCUCCUGGAUUCAGCGGCGGACGGGUGAGUAAUGCCUAGGAAUCUGCCUGGUAGUGGGGGAUAACGUCCGGAAACGGGCGCUAAUACCGCAUACGUCCUGAGGGAGAAAGUGGGGGAUCUUCGGACCUCACGCUAUCAGAUGAGCCUAGGUCGGAUUAGCUAGUUGGUGGGGUAAAGGCCUACCAAGGCGACGAUCCGUAACUGGUCUGAGAGGAUGAUCAGUCACACUGGAACUGAGACACGGUCCAGACUCCUACGGGAGGCAGCAGUGGGGAAUACUGGACAAUGGGCGAAAGCCUGAUCCAGCCAUGCCGCGUGUGUGAAGAAGGUCUUCGGAUUGUAAAGCACUUUAAGUUGGGAGGAAGGGCAGUAAGUUAAUACCUUGCUGUUUUGACGGUACCAACAGAAUAAGCACCGGCUAACUUCGUG